rnacentral:lncRNA from 1 species
GACGAAACACUGGAACUCUCCAGAAUAAAUUGGUACCUGGGUCUCUUCUGAAGUGAGCUGCUCUUAGGAGCUUCAAAUGAGGGUCUUUGAAGCCACAUGAAAAUUGAUGAGUGGUUGUAACAUCCAAGCUACCAAAUCAGACACACUUGUAAUUGUUCCCAAUAGUUUCUUAGCAGGCAUUUUGGAGGAAAAGAUUUGGAUCAGAAAUUCAGAAAUUACCUGGGCUCACAAAUAUAUGCCCCUCCAGCACCAUCCUGCAUUCUGCUUCCAAGAUACAUGAGCUUUCUGAAGAGCUGGUGAGAAUGCUGAAACUUCCUGGCCUUGGUUUCCCAUCUGGUAAAAUGAGGAAGACCAAAGCUUAACUCUCACAAGGAAUAUGCAGAUGAGGAAACCGAAGCUCUUGGGGUAACACGACUUGUGAAACUGCAUGCUACUCCUCAGUGGCAGGGUGGGGACUCUGGACAGAGGAACUGGCAAGGUCUUCUAGACCUUUGACGUGCAUAAACUGGCAGGUUUACAGAAUAACGAGGAAAACAAAGUGAAACAAAAGACUGUACCCGUGUGCUAAGAAUUUAUUACCCGCACAUCAAAAAACUUAUCCAUCACGAUCAAGCUGGCUUCAUCCCUGGGAUGCAAAGCUGGCUCAGCAUAUGCAAAUCAAUAAACAUAAUCCGUCACAUAAACAGAACCAAAGACAAAAACCACAUGGUUAUCUCAGUAGAUGCAGAAAAGGCCUUUGAUAAAAUUCAACAUCCCUUCAUGUUAAAAACUCAAUAAACUAGAUAUUGAUGGAACAUAUCUCAAAAUAAAAGAGCUGUUUAUGACAAACCCACAGCCAAUAUCAUAUUGAAUGGGCAAAAGCUGGAAGCAUUCCCUUUGAAUACUAGUACAAGGUAAGGAUGCCCUCUUCUCACCACUCUAUUCAACAUAGUAUUGAAGUUUUGGCCAGGGCAAUCGGGCAAGAGAAAGACAAAAAGCAUAUUCUAAUAGGAAGAGAGAGAGUCAAAUUGUCUCUAUUUGCAGACAACAUGAUUGUAUAUUUAGAAAACCCCAUCAUCUCACCCCAAAAACUCCUUAAGCUGGUGAGCAACUUCAGCAAAGUCUCAGGAUACAAAAUCAAUGUGCUAAAAUCACAAGCAUUCCUUUACACCAACAAUAGACAAGCAGGGAGCCAAAUCAUGAAUGAAGUCCCAUUCACAAUUGCUACAAAGAGAAUAAAAUACCUAGGAAUACAGCUAACAAGGGAUGUGAAGGACCUUUUCAAGGAGAACUACAAACUACUGCUCAAGGAAAUAAGAGAGGACACAAACAAAUGGAAAAACAUUCCAUCCUCAUGGAUAGGAAGAAUCAAUAUCAUGAAAAUGGCCAUACUGUCCAACGUAAUUUAUAGAUUCAAUGCUAUCCUCAUCAAGCUACCAUUGACGUUCUUCACAGAAUUAGAAAAAAAACUACUUUAAAUUUCAUAUGGAAUCAAAGAAGACCCUGUAUAGCUAAGACAAGCCUAAGCAAAAAGAACAAAGCUGGAGGCAUCAAGCUACCUGACUUCAAACUAUACUACAGGCUACAGUAACCAAAACAGCAUGGUACUGGUACCAAAACAAACAUAUAGACCAAUGGAACAGAACAGAGACCUCAGAAAUAACACCACACAUCUAAAACCAUCUGAUCUUUGACAAACCUGACAAAAACAAGCGAUCGGGAAAUGAUCUCCUAUUCAUUAAAUGUUUCUGGGAAAACUGUCUAGCCACGUGCAGAAAACUGAAACUGGAUCACCCUUCCUUAUACCUUAUACAAAAAUUAACUUAGGAUGGAUUAAAGACUUAAAUGUAAAGCCCCAAACCAUAAAAACCCUAGAAGAAAACCUAGGCAAUACCAUUCAGGACAUAGGCAUGGGCAAAGACUUCAUAAUGAAAACGCCAAAAGCAAUUGCAGCAAAAGCCAUAAUUGACAAAUGGGAUGUAAUUAAACUAAAGAGCUUCUGCACAGCAAAAGAAGCUAUCAUCAGAGUGAACAGGCAACCUACAGAAUGGGAGAAAAAUUUUGCGAUCUAUCCAUCCAACAAAGGUCUAAUAUCCAGCAUCUAUAAGGAACUUAAACAAA